ACCAUAACUAGCCCAAAUCACCUAAACUAAACAAUCCUUCACCACUUAACUAAAUCAUUCACCAUCCGCAUUAGUAUAGGAGAUAGAAAAUACAACUAGGCGCUAUAGAGACAGUACCGCAAGGGAAAGAUGAAAGACACAAUCAUAAAGUUAAAUAAAGCAAAGCUUACAACUUGUACCUCUCGCAUAAUGAUCUAACUAGAACAACUUUACAAAGAGACCUUAAGCCAACAACCCCGAAACCAGACGAGCUAUCUACGGACAGUACAUGAACAAACUCAUCUAUGUGGCAAAAUAGUGAGAAGAUCCUCAGAUAGAGGUGAAAAGCCUACCGAGCCUGGUGAUAGCUGGUUGUCCAGAAUAGAAUAUAAGUUCAACUUUAAACUUAUUCAAAGAAAUAAAAAUCCUAACAUAAGCUUAAAUGUUAGUUCAACGAGGUACAGCUCAUUGAACAAAGGAUACAACCUUAUUUAGAGAGUAAUCAAAUUACCCAACCAUAGUUGGCCUAAGAGCAGCCACCAAUUAAGAAAGCGUUAAAGCUCAACAUUAACCCAUUCCCAUAUACCUAUCCCCCCAACCAACUCCUAUAAUAAUCACUGGACCAAUCUAUUAAAUAAUAGAAGAAAUAAUGUUAAUAUGAGUAACAAGAACUAAAUUCUCCCUGCACAGACCUAUAUCAGAUCGGAUGCCCACUGAUAAUUAAACUUAGGUGCCACAAACAACUUACCUAAACAGCACCCAACCAACCCGUUAACCCAACACAGGUGUGCACAAUAAGGAAAGAUUAAAAUAAGUAAAAGGAACUCGGCAAAGACCAAACCCCGCCUGUUUACCAAAAACAUCACCUCUAGCAUUACCAAUAUUAGAGGCACUGCCUGCCCAGUGACUAAAGUUUAACGGCCGCGGUAUCCUGACCGUGCAAAGGUAGCAUAAUCACUUGUUCCUUAAUUGAGGACUAGAAUGAACGGCCACACGAGGGUUUUACUGUCUCUUACUUAUAAUCAGUGAAAUUGACCUCUUCGUGAAGAGGCGAAGAUAAACAAAUAAGACGAGAAGACCCUAUGGAGCUUAAAUUUAACACCCAUGUUCCACUCUACAACUCCCAGGAGCUCAACACCCCAACAUUUGGGUGAACAAUUUUGGUUGGGGUGACCUCGGAGCACAAACUAACCUCCGAGCAUUAUUUACCUAGACCUUACCAGUCAAAGUACAUAAAUGUCAUAUUCAUUGACCCAAACAAUUGAUCAACGAAACAAGUUACCCUAGGGAUAACAGCGCAAUCCUGUUCUAGAGUCCAUAUCGACAACAGGGUUUACGACCUCGAUGUUGGAUCAGGACAUCCCAAUGGUGUAACCGCUAUUAAUGGUUCGUUUGUUCAACGAUUAAAGUCCUACGUGAUCUGAGUUCAGACCGGAGAAAUCCAGGUCGGUUUCUAUCUAUUCAUAUUUCUCCCAGUACGAAAGGACAAGAGAAAUAGAGCCAAUCAUACAGUCAAGCUCUCAGCCAAAUAGAUGAUAUUGUCUUAAUCUAAUACUUUUCCCUUUCACCCUGCCCAAGAACAGGGUUU
rnacentral:rRNA from 1 species